GGCGGAGGGGGCAUCGUCAACAACGUGCAGACACUGGUCCGACGACGCAGGAAAGCUGAUGGAUGGAGUUGAGCUGGCGAGCUUCUUCUUCGACCAAUGUGGAGCUUGUUUUUCUUGUUUGAUGUUGGCAAGUCUAGACGAUUUGUGUCUAUCAAGUGCCUUUGCCUUUGCCGUAGCGUAGUAUCGCACCUUAUUUAUAUUAAGCUGUUGCUUGCUCUCUGUGUGCCCCAACAAGUGUAGUAAUGGUAGUAGUAUUAGCACUCUCCGCAGCAAUUUUCAUCACAGUCUUUGCUUAGCUCUAGCUAUUGUUUUAUAAUUCAUGCAGUUUUGUAACUAUGUUUCAAAUGUGUGAUCAAUGAAACUCUGUAUUUGGGUUGUGCAUUUUUGUAUUGCCCAGUCGGACAAGAACGUGUAAAGCUAAAUUAAUACUUGUAUAUAUCACUUUUGACAAAACAAUUCAUCCACUUCUGAGCUUUAUCUUUAUUUUUCUGUUUA